rnacentral:tRNA from 1 species
UCGUGCGUGGUGUAGUGGUAACGUGCCUAUCUAGUGAGUAGGAGUCGAGAGUUCGAGUCUCACCGAGUGAA